UUUGAGUUUUAUUCUUGCUUUUAAUUGUUUAUUUUAACAUUGAUCUAUAUGUAAAUUUUUGUGCACGUUAAAGUUUCUUAAAGGGGUUUUAAUGUUAUAUUAUUAAGCAGUGGAUAAUAUUAUUAAUAUUAAGUUAAUUUAGAUUUGGUAAAUGUUAUUUAGGUUUGGUAAAAGUUGUGCCAGCAUCCGCGGUUAUACAACAAAAUCGAAUAAACAUUAUUAGCUUUAAAGUAAUUAACAUUUAAUAUUAUAUAGGAUUUAAGAUAUUUUAAGGUGAAAUAUUUAUAAUAUCUUUAAAUAUAUUUUUUAGUGUGAAUUAUUAUGAAAUUAAAAAUAUAAACUAGGAUUAGAUACCCUAUUAUUUUUAUCGUAAAUUUUUUAAGCUGGAGUAUUAAUAGAUAUGGUCUUGAAACUUAAAGAAUUUGGCGGUAUUAUAGUCUAUUUAGAGGAAUCUGUUAUGUAAUUGAUAAUCCACGUUGAACCUUACUUAUAUUAUUUCUUGUAUACCUCUGUUUAAGAAUAUACUUUUAGGUUGAUUUUCUGGAUAUAGUAGAAUUUAGUAUUUCAAGUCAAGGUGCAGUAAUAUAUAAGUUGAAUAAUGGAUUACAAUAAAUUUUAUUUAUAUGGAUUGUUAUUGGAAUAUAAUUUGAAGGUGGAUUUAAUUGUAAUUUUAUAAAGAUUAUUAAAAUGAUUUAUAGCUCUAUAAUAUGUACACAUCGCCCGUCGCUCUCGUUAUUAAGAUGAGAUAAGUCGUAACAAAGUAGGUGUAUUGGAAGAUGUACCUAAGAAGUAUUAAUU
rnacentral:ncRNA from 1 species